GCCCCAUAAAAGCCGGCGGGGGGGGGGCGGCAGCGGAGCCAUGGACGGGGCCAAGAAGCACUCGGGGCACCCCGAAAAGAAGCACAAGGAUGGGCGCCGCUCUUCCUCCUCCUCCUCCUCCUCCAGCUCCAGCGAUGAGGGCAAGCCCCACGGCGCGGAGCACAAGAAGGACAAGGCGCACAAGAAGCACAAGGAGAAAAAGGAGAAGAAGGGACACUGAGGGGACACCGAGGGGACACGGGGGGGUCACCGCACUGAGAUGCACGGGGGGGGCCCCCCUCCCCCCCCCCCACCCAAUAAAUCGCUGACGCAGGC